rnacentral:rRNA from 1 species
AGUGAAUAGAUACCCGGGUAGUCCACGCCCUAAACGAUGGAUACUUGGUGUUGGGGGGUUGCCCUCAGUGCCGGAGCUAAACGCGUUAAAGUAUCCCACCUGGGGACUACGGCCGCAAGGCUAAAACUCAAAGGAAUUGACGGGGCCCGCACAAGCAGCGAGGUAUGUGGUUUAAUUCGACGCUACGCGAAGAACCUUACCUGGGCUUGACAUGCUUGAGAAAGAGCCAAGAAACUGGCUCCCUCCUGGCCGCAAGGUCAGGACCCAUCCACAGGUGCUGCAUGGUUGUCGUCAGCUCGUGUCGUGAGAUGUAAGGUUAAGUCCUUGAACGAGCGCAACCCCUUUUGCUAGUUGCUAACCAGUAAUGGUGCACCCUAGCGACACUGCCAGCUAAAAGUUGGAGGAAGGAGGGGAUGACGUCAAAUCCUCAUGGCCUUUAUGUCCAGGGCUACACACAUGCGACAAUGGUCGGUACAACGGGUCGCAACACCGCGAGGUGAAGCCAAUCCCUAAAAACCGACCUCAGUUCAGAUUGCAGGCUGC